UACGUAGGUGGCAAGCGUUGUCCGGAUUUACUGGGCGUAAAGGAUGCGUAGGCGGACAUUUAAGUCUGAUGUGAAAUACCCGAGCUUAACUUGGGUGCUGCAUUUGAAACUGGGUGUCUAGAGUGCAGGAGAGGUAAGUGGAAUUCCUAGUGUAGCGGUGAAAUGCGUAGAGAUUAGGAAGAACACCAGUGGCGAAGGCGACUUACUGGACUGUAACUGACGCUGAGGCAUGAAAGCGUGGGGAGCAAACAGG
rnacentral:rRNA from 1 species